rnacentral:rRNA from 1 species
UACAGAGGUCUCAAGCGUUGUUCGGAUUCAUUGGGCGUAAAGGGUGCGUAGGCGGCGCGGUAAGUCGGGUGUGAAAUCUCGGAGCUUAACUCCGAAACUGCAUUCGAUACUACCGUGCUUGAGGACUGGAGAGGAGACUGGAAUUUACGGUGUAGCGGUGAAAUGCGUAGAUAUCGUAAGGAAGACCAGUGGCGAAGGCGGGUUGCUGGGCUGACACUGACGCUGAUGUGCGAAAGCUAGGGGAGCGAACGGG